rnacentral:rRNA from 1 species
CUACGGGAGGCAGCAGGGGGGAAUCUUCCGCAAUGGGCGAAAGCCUGACGGAGCAACGCCGCGUGAGUGAGGAAGGCCUUCGGGUCGUAAAACUCUGUCUUCAGGGAAGAAAAAAAUGACGGUACCUGAGGAGGAAGCCCCGGCUAACUACGUGCCAGCAGCCGCGGUAAAACGUAGGGGGCGAGCGUUGUCCGGAAUUACUGGGCGUAAAGGGCGCGUAGGCGGUUAUUUAAGUCAGAGGUGAAAACUACCGGCUCAACCGGUAGCCUGCCUUUGAAACUGGAUGACUUGAGGGCAGGAGAGGGGAGUGGAAUUCCCAGUGUAGCGGUGAAAUGCGUAGAUAUUGGGAGGAACACCAGUGGCGAAGGCGGCUCUCUGGCCUGUUUCUGACGCUGAGGCGCGAAAGCGUGGGGAGCAAACGGGAUUAGAUACCCCGGUAGUCCACGCCGUAAACGAUGGGUGCUAGGUGUAGGAGGUAUCGACCCCUUCUGUGCCGUAGUUAACACAAUAAGCACCCCGCCUGGGGAGUACGGCCGCAAGGUUGAAACUC